AGAGCGAUGAAGCGGAGGUUGCCGUGAAGUCCGAGGAAAAAGAAGGGCUGCGGGUUUUCCGUGGAGCGAUGUCCAGUUCCAGAAACCGGGCGACAA
rnacentral:ncRNA from 1 species